UCUACCCCCACCCUCCCCAGCGAAAAUGCUCUUGGACGUAGGAAGGGGAUCACCCUCUCUCUCCCAGUCUCCUAAUUUCCCCUCUGCUUCUCUCCCCUGGCUUCUUAUCUUUGCCUUCCUUGGAAUCCUCCCUGUUCCGCCUGGCCUACCCCACCGCCCUUUCUUUUUUUUUCGGAGGGGUGUCCGGGCAAUUAAAGUGCUACCGGUGGGAGGGCUGAAAUGUUUUGCUUUUUCCCAUUCCCUAGGAAACCGCGUGUGAGUCUCUUUGCCGCCCACCGCAGCCCCCAAGCCCCGAAAUGUCCUUGUCUGAAGCUAGACCAGCCUGUUGAGCGGCUCUUUGCGUUGUCUCUGUCCUUUGUCUCCCUCGCCCCCUCCUUUUAUUUACUUGCUUGCUUAUUUAUUUAUUUUCUCUCUGCGACGAGAGAAACCUUUGGGAGGCAUUAGGAGAUUACCAUCCCUGGAGGAUUUUUAACCCAGAGGGAAGGGUGCGUUGUGCGUGCGCGAGGGGCAGAGUCUCCGUCUGAGCCGUACGGGCAGCGGCCAGCAAGCCAGAGCAGGAGAGGCAAGAGAGGCGCAGGGCACGAAGCCGGGAAACAACACAGAAACAAGAAUUCUCGAGCCGCACGAGAGUGACUUUGCGCUCCCCUCCGCGCCUCCGGCCGCUUGAGAGUGCCUCGUCUGAGGGUCUGUCAGGAGACUUCGUCUUCUCCGUCGUCGUCGUCUCCCUGCUCCUCUCCUCCUCCUCUCAGAAGACUUCUCUGCCGCUGUUGCUCUUGCGUGUGGCGGCGGCGGCUUCGCUCGCGAGUUGGCUCAGGUUACUGCUGCUCUCUUUUGCGCUGGCUUUUGCAGUCGGGAGAGCUGCAUUGCUGCUGCUCCCGCCGCCGGCGUUUUCCCGCGUUUGCUCGCCGCUGCCCCUGGCUUCUCUCAUGAGCAGAGGGAGAGGCGCAGCAGCGACCGAGGCAGCGGAGGCGCUCUCCUUCUCCGGGGUUUAUGAAUGGCCCUGACAUGGAGGAAAUACCAUUUCAGAAAGUCAAGAAGAGCAAGAAGGCGAGGAGGAAGAAGUGCUGCCGCUACUGCUGCUGCUCCUCCUCUCCCGGGCCGCCGCCGCAGCCGCCACCACCUCCGCCGGCCGCCGGCAGUAGCGGCGGCGCCUCCGGAGCGGCGGCGGCGGGAGCCGGCGGCGGCGGCGGAGGAGGAGGGGGCCCCCCUCCGCUGCCGCUGCUGGACGCCGUCGCCUGCGAGGACCAGUUCGACUGCAAGGAGCUGGAGUCGCUCUUCCAGAACUACAACCUGAAGCUGGAGCAGACGUCGACGCUGAAAGCGCUGGCCGUGCUCAUCGUGCUGACGGCCAGCCUGGCGCUGGUGGAGCUGCUGUCGGGGCCCAGCCUGACCAUCUCCAAGGGCUCCCACCCGGUGCACUGCAUCAUCUUCCUCUCCCUCUUCAUCGUCACCAACGUCAAGUACCUGCAGGUGACCCAGCUGCAGCAGAUCGUCAAGCUCACCUUGCUGUUCAGCUUCACCUUCGCCUUCCUCUGCUGCCCUUUCUCCCUGGGCACCUACGGCAUGGAGCCCCCCAGCGCCCCCGAGCAGGGCAUGUGGCAGCUUAUGCUGGUCACCUUCGUCUCCUACGCCCUCCUGCCCGUCCGCACCCUCCUGGCCAUCGUCUUCGGCUUGGUGGUGGCCAUCUCCCAUCUCAUCGUGGCCGCCGCCUCGGUCAGUGCCCGGAGGCAGCCCUUGUGGAGGACGCUUGUGGCCAAUGCUAUCCUUUUUGUCAGUGUAAAUUUAUAUGGGGUCUUUGUGAGGAUUUUGACGGAAAGGGCACAGAGGAAGGCAUUCCUUCAGGCCAGGAACUGCAUAGAGGACAGGCUGAAGCUGGAGGAUGAAAAUGAAAAACAGGAGCGACUCCUGAUGAGCCUUUUGCCCAGGAAUGUUGCCAUGGAAAUGAAGGAAGAUUUUCUAAAGCCACCUGAAAGGAUUUUCCAUAAGAUUUACAUUCAGAGGCAUGAUAAUGUUAGUAUAUUGUUUGCAGACAUCGUGGGAUUUACCAGCCUGGCAUCACAAUGUACUGCUCAAGAAUUGGUGAAACUUCUAAAUGAACUCUUUGGGAAGUUUGAUGAAUUAGCUACAGAAAACCACUGCAGAAGGAUAAAAAUCCUAGGGGACUGUUACUACUGUGUAUCAGGACUGACGCAGCCCAAAACAGAUCAUGCCCACUGCUGCGUCGAAAUGGGAUUGGAUAUGAUUGACACCAUCACAUCUGUAGCUGAAGCCACUGAAGUAGAUCUCAAUAUGCGGGUUGGCCUGCACACAGGAAGAGUGCUUUGUGGUGUUCUGGGUCUUCGCAAAUGGCAGUAUGAUGUUUGGUCAAAUGAUGUGACUCUUGCUAAUGUAAUGGAGGCUGGAGGAUUGCCUGGGAAAGUGCAUAUAACAAAGACCACCUUAGAGUGCCUGAAUGGUGACUAUGAGGUAGAACCAGGGCAUGGCCAUGAAAGGAACAGUUUCUUAAAGAAGCAUAAUAUUGAAACCUUUUUCAUUGUGCCAUCUCACCGGAGAAAGAUAUUUCCUGGGCUGAUCCUGUCAGACAUAAAGCCUGCCAAAAGAAUGAAGUUCAAGACUGUCUGUUACCUGUUGGUGCAACUCAUGCAUUGUCGCAAAAUGUUCAAAGCUGAGAUCCCUUUCUCCAAUGUCAUGACGUGUGAAGAUGAUGACAAGAGGAGGGCAUUAAGGACAGCCUCUGAAAAACUCAGGAAUCGUUCCUCAUUUUCUACAAACGUUGUAUACAACACUCCUGGAACUCGAGUGAACCGUUACAUUAGCCGUUUAAUAGAGGCCCGACAAACUGAGUCAGAGAUGGCAGACCUAAACUUUUUUACCCUGAGGUAUAAACAGAUUGAACGUGAGCAAAAAUAUCACCAAGUUCAGGAUGAAUAUUUCACCAGUGCUGUAGUCUUGUCACUGAUUCUAGCUGCCUUAUUUGGCCUUGUCUACCUUUUAAUAAUCCCACAGAGUACCAUAGUUCUUGUCCUCUUGGUGUUCUGCAUAUGCUUCCUGGUGGCAUGUAUAAUGUAUCUCCAUGUCACUCGAGUACAAUGUUUUCCAGGGUGCCUGACAAUACAAAUUCGUACCAUUUUAUGUGUUUUUAUUGUGAUCUUAAUUUACUCAGUGGCACAAGGCUGUGUGGUUGGUUGUAUGCCUUGGGUCUGGAGUAACAAUUCCAGCAGUUCCAUAGUUAUCAUUUCUCCUGGUGGGACCAAUAAGACAAUGAAUGAACUUCCAUGCGAUGCAGCCCAUUAUGCAUUUCUCUCCUGUGUUGUGGGGACUCUGACCCUGGCAAUAUUUUUACGUGUAUCCUCCUUGCCAAAAAUGAUCCUCCUGCUUUUUGUUACAAUUUUGUACAUAGUCAUUUUGGAACUCAGCGGAUAUCGAAAAGCAGUGGGGGGUGAUUCCUUUUAUAUACGUGGCUAUGAACCCAUAUUAGCCAUCUUGCUGUUUUCUUGUGCUUUGGCCCUUCAUUCCAGGCAAGUGGAUUUGAAGCUACGUCUAGACUACCUCUGGGCUGUGCAGGCAGAAGAAGAGCGAGAUGAUAUGGAAAGAGUGAAACUGGAUAACAAAAGAAUUCUCUUCAAUCUGUUACCAGCACAUGUUGCUCAGCAUUUUCUCAUGUCUAAUCCAAGGAAUAUGGACCUAUAUUACCAGUCAUAUUCACAAGUGGGAGUGAUGUUUGCUUCCAUUCCAAAUUUCAACGAUUUUUACAUUGAACUGGAUGGCAAUAACAUGGGAGUGGAGUGUUUACGUCUGUUAAAUGAAAUUAUUGCAGAUUUUGAUGAGCUUAUGGACAAAGAAUAUUAUAAAGACAUAGAAAAAAUCAAGACAAUCGGCAGCACAUAUAUGGCAGCAGUGGGACUUGUACCAACUACAGGCACCAAGGCAAAGAAAUCAAUUUAUUCCCAUCUCAGUACACUGGCUGAUUUUGCAAUAGAAAUGUUUGAUGUUCUUGACGAAAUCAACUAUCAGUCUUACAAUGACUUUGUUCUUCGGGUUGGUAUUAAUGUGGGCCCUGUAGUAGCAGGAGUUAUUGGUGCCAGAAGACCACAGUAUGACAUCUGGGGUAACACUGUAAAUGUUGCUAGCAGAAUGGAUAGUACUGGAGUACAAGGUAAAAUUCAGGUUACAGAAGAAGUCCAGCGAAUAUUGAAGAGGUGUAAUUAUGAGUUUGUGUGUCGGGGUAAAGUCAGUGUCAAAGGCAAAGGUGAAAUGCUGACCUAUUUUCUUGAAGGAAAGGCCAAUGGAAAUAAUUCACAAACUCGAUCUUUAAACUUAGAGAGAAAAAUGUACCCUUUCGGGCGAGCAAACAUUCAGACCAAAUUGGGCACAAGUUGUUUAUCUUUAUCCUCAUCCCCCAGCCUUUCAGCAAAUGCUGGAGCUGGAACACUUCAAGUAUCAUCAGCACAUACUAAUCAGACGCUCCAUUAUCUUCCUUCUGUGCCAGCCAUAAAGGAGGCAUGAGAGCAAUGAAAAUGUUGGUUGUACCAUGUGCUAUGAAUUUGGAAAGCAGAGAUCGCUUGAAUUUUCACCAGGAAGGUUAAUGCUACCGGAUUUGGUAUCAACCAGGAUGUCUACAACCCAACCAAAGAGAACUUGGGAACUGCAUUUACAAACUUAUGGAAUGGAUCAAAUAAGGGCUAGCAAUUCUGUUAGGAAAAGUCUACUACUGAUUUUCUGAAAAUAAGAAAUAUUUUAUCAGCAAUUUUAAAUGUUCAAGCACUAAGAAUGAUCUUGGUAUAGCUCCACAGUGGACCUGGUUCUCUCCUACAGUGCAUGUUUUACAUGUGCAUGAAGAUGAUAAACCCUUUGGAAAUGGAUGUCCUUUUGCUUCUCGUCUGCAAUCUACUGCAUGCCACACAUGCCUGACUUCAGUAAAAACAAAAACAAAAAACAAAGCAACAAAAAAAGAGUAAGUUUCUUUCUAUAUGUUUUUGACAUAUCACAUUUGACACAGAGUUUUAAAGGCACUACCAGUUGCAUGUGCAUACUACAAAAGCAAAAUUUCAAAGCAACACCACAAUAAAAAAUUAACCUGUAAUGUUCUGCCAACCUCAAUGUUGCUAUGUCCACAUUAUGUGGUAUAUGAAAUGUGCCCUUGACAUCUAUGCUACCUUAAUAACAGUACCUUUGGUCAUUAGAAGCAAUAAAUUAAACUCCACAUACUGUAAUAUAUAUAAAUACAUAUAUAUUUUAAAAUAUGAGUGGAAAUAGUAGUGGUGUAAAACCAAGUCUACCAAUUCACUAGGUACUGUUUAAUACCCUGUUUGACGUAACAGUAUAAGUAAAUGUUUUGGAAAGGGGAUGGCUCUGUAAAUCCCAAAAUGCCAGAGCACAAGAUUUCCCCUGUAGACAUGAUCAUAUGAAGCUGCUUUAGACUGGCGGCAGUUCUCCAAGGUCUCAAGCACAGGUCUUUCCCAAUCCUGCUGCCUGAGUCUUUGCAGGCAUUAAUGAGAAGCUGCCCUAUCCUAAGUCAGACCGUUGGUUGGUUCAUUUGGCUCAGUACUGUCUCAUUUGCUUGGCAGUAGUCUCAGGUCUUUCUUGGCCCUGCUGCCUGAGAUUAUCUGAAAAUGCCAGGGGAAAACCUGGAAAUUUAUGCAUGCAAAGCAUGUGCUCUACCACUGAGCUAUCAUCCUUUCCCACCACCCAUGAAAAGAUGAAAUAGUUUACUUAAAAAAGCAUUUACAUAUACUGAAGGAAAGACCUCAAGGUAGGAAGACCAAGAUGUCAUAGUAUCAAACUGUAACAAGGCAGAACUGCAUUGAAUAAAAGGGAGGAUUUGGUCCAGUAAAGUUACCCAGAUGGUAUUUUUUAUGUGAUAUCUAUUGUUAUUGUAUCUGAGAUAAACAGUAUAGAGAAAUGGCUUUCAUACAUUAUAUAUUUCUGAACAUGAUUUUUGUUCAAUAGCCUUAUUAUUUCAAUUCAUAUGGUUCCAAACAUGGUGGUACUGAAAAUAAAAUGCUAAGCUGAACUGUGGGGUUUAGAAAAUAAAUACAAAUUUUUCCUUUUGUCUUUUCUUCGGCUUUCUGAAAUUUUCUAAAUAAAUGUCAAAGCUGCAAUUUCAAUCAUGCUUCCAAGAAUGUAAGAUCCAGUGACCUCAGUAGGACUUACUUCCAAGUAGGCAUGUCCUAGGCCUAGGAUGUAACACCACCCCUACUGAUUCCUCUUCUCCAUCAGCUUUUGUGGUCCCUUCUGAAUCCAUAUACAUCAGAGGUGAGCAGUUUGUGGUUCUCCACCCUACAACUCCCAUAAUCUUUCACCAUAGGUUAUGCUGUCUAGGGCUGAUAGGUGUUGCAGACCAAAACAUCUGGAGGUCCACAACUUGCUCACUCAUGAUGUACACUGACAUAAUGGAGACAGAAUGUGAUUUCCUGACUGAGUUUGGUGUCCAACAUUUUAAAUUGCCAGAAAGAUUUUGAGCACUUAAAAGUAUUAUAUAAAUGCCAAUACUAUUUUUGUUAUGUCCCCAAAUGUCAAGUUGUAUUACACAACUUUAUUCAUAUUUGUUCCAUUUUAUCAUUUAUUAUAAAAAUAAACUGUAUGAUUUAUUAAAACUGCAAUAUUCUAAUGUUUCAAUUACUCUAAUAUGGAAACAAAAUGAAUUAGAAUAUCUGUAAUGUAAUGUGACCAGAACGGAAUUCAGAUGGAUGGCUUCUGCUUUGUGAGGCCAGAUAGUGUAAAGUUAGAAAACUGUACUCUUUGUUAUAAUUGAAGCUUAAAUUUUAAGCCCACUCUGUUACCUGACAGCAUGGUUAAUUAAUUUCUUCUUCCUCUUAUAAAUGAAGACAUACAUAAACAAACACAUGCCCUGGACCAUCAGAAAUUACCAAAUUUGUACAGUAGUUGCUUCAGUGCCCCAAUUAAAAGCUUUCCCAAGCUCAAAUGGCCAUGUUCUAGCAAUAUCACUUGUUUGGUUCUGACAACAGUUAAUGUUUCUGUCUUUUUCAUGCAUGUUUUCUGAUAGUCUUUCCAUUGUCAUUCCUGUUAGCCUUCUCUGGAGCAACAGUCUUCUGUAAUGUUCCUUCACAAAUAGUUUUUUUGUUUUGUUUUUAAUUCAAAGAAAAUGGUGAUACAACAGGGAAAGAAAGAUUACCUAAAGGUGCAGUCUGUACAGAUUCACCUUGGAGUAAACUCAUUUAACACAGUGGGCUUUGCUUCCGAGUAGGCACACAUUUGAUCGCAUUGCAAAAUUUUUAUUUUGAAAUCCACCAUGGUACAUGUACUUUUCAAGUGUGUUUUGCAGCCUAAUGUUUUCACAGCGUGAAGUUUCCACCUUAUGAAGGAAUCUGGGGCAUGAGCUUAUUGGUCAUGCGAUGCCAGAUGACCAACCAUUGCAGGUUAAUCAGCUGCUACAUAAAAGCCAUUUGUGGCAGAAUCGAAUGUAUCCUACCUACAUGUUUUAGUGCCUUGCAAAAUAUCUCAAAUACAAGGGAUCCUGGACUGGGGGUGGAGAAUCAAAAUGUGUACAGCAAAGUGAAGUACAAAAAUUGGCCUGGUACAGACAGUAUAGAAAGAAGGUGCUAAAAAGGAAGUGUAAGAAAAAGCAUAUAAAAGAGAAUAAAUUUAUAUGAUGAUAAAAAGCAUAUAAAAGAGAAUAAAUGUAUAAGAUGAUGAUAAAAAGCUGUAAUAGGCAUGUGAAAUUUACUUUUCCCCCAAAAAAUGAAAAUUAGGCAAAAAGUUGAGUAUAUGAAUAGUUAAGAGAAUUAAAGAUUUAUCUCAGAAGUCCUGAGCGAAUAUAGUGUAUAUUACCUACAGACCAAGAAACUGAGGUCUAGGGGAAGACAUAAAAGCUGCCACAAAAUCUCCAUUAUUUGUUUAUUUAUUGAGGGAUUUAUGUCUCACCCUCCUGUCAAAUUCCCAGGAUGGUUUUCAGAUGCGCAAAAUUCAAUGAAACAAAUUCAAAACCUAGAAAAAAACGUGAAAACAAGCCAAUAGGAGAUGCAUAAAAACAUUACUGAGCCAAUAUUCACUGAAUUAAGUGGUCUGAGAAAAUUAAAGGCUUUUUCUGAGAAUUACCCCCCUCAAUUUUAGCAAAAUGUAAGCUUCUCUGGGGUUGAGUAUUACACAGAUGGAUGCCACUACUGAGAAGGUUCUAUGAAGGGAACUUGGAGAAGGCCUCCUAUGAAUAUACAGUGGUACCUUGGCUCACGAACACCUCAGUUCACGACCAAAUCGGGUCACAAACAAAACAUUCAGAAAAAAAAUUGUCUCAGUUCAUGAACUCCACAUUGGGUGAUGACCACGAUCGCGGCCAUGUGGUCACAUGAACACAAUGACGAUCAUGGCCGUCUUCCCUGCAUAAGUGCAACCGUGAUCACAGCCAUCUCCCCCACCCCCGAGCAUGAUCGCUAUUGCACAAUUAUAGUUUGGGCUCUCCCUUCAAACAAUAACCUCUCCCCCACCUAGGUCACUGUUCUCUACUGUACUGUACUUUGUCAUGGAAUGGAUUAAGUUCAUGAGCCGAAGUACCACUGUACUGAUGUAUAGACAGAGACAUGUGGAAGCAGACGUUGGGAACAGAACAGUCCAUAGAAUAUUUUAAUCACGUUUACUCAACCUGAAGCUUUAACUCUAAAGUCAGAACGGACAUUAGCAGCUACUUUUUUCAUUUCUACUCAGGAGCAGACACAGGUUCCAGUCUGGAUUAGAACCUUAACAUGGCUUUAACCUUUACACACACAUUGUAUGCCUUGAAUUUUGAUUGCAAAAUAGUGAUCCAUAAUGGUUUAAAACAGUCUUGAAAGGAAUGUCUGUUUGGACCCUCCACAUGGCUGACACUUUCUGUGUGUCUGUCCAGGGUGAGCACUCUGAGAAUAGUGGUAGGAACCCCUGUCUGGUGAGAAGUAGAAUGCCAGCUGGUGCACUUGACAGAGGAGGGAGAGAAACGGGGGCAGAGUGGAGGGCAUCAGUGUGAGUUCUAAGAGAAGCACUAGAGAGGUCACUGUCGGCAUAGGGAUGAUGAAGACAUAUGCAACAGAUUCAAAUGAGUUCAGAUUUCUAUGACUCCAACCUGCAGAUACCACAGUGGACCAGCUUUUCUGAGUCAUGUGGAUUCCACAGGCUUGCAGAACAGUUACCGUAUUUUUCUGUCUAUAAGACGCCCCCAUGUAUAGGACACCCUCCACUUUUCCUACUGAUCUCCGAGCGAGCAAGCUAGCUGCUGCUACAUGCACUCCACCUCAUUGCCCCCCCUGCACACAUGCGCGAUCAUGCCAUUCUCCCCUCCCAGAGCACCCCUGUGUAUAAGAUGCCCCUCCAUUUUUAGUAAGUGUUUUUAAGAAAAAGUAUCAUCUUAUACAGGGGAAAAAUGGUAUUUACUUUUGCAGGCAAAUAAUGCAAAUUUGCUGCAACACUAAUGUUCAUUAGUACAAGCAGAACACAAUUUUUGUACAUCUCUAAAAAAGUGUGAAUGAAAAUUGAAACUCCCCCUUCUAUCCCAGCCUACAUCCAGCAUCAUGGAAAAGGUUCUCCUUUCUCUUUAAUCUUUGACUUCUCAGAAAUAGUCAACCAAAAGACUUGGUUUAGAUAUGAGGGAGAAGAAAGGCAGGUUGCUUGCCUGUAACUGUCAUUCUUCGAGUGGCCAUCUGUGCGUUCACACAUUAUGGGUGCUGCACCUGCGCAGUGCCUGCAGCUGGGAAAGAUUCAGAGAUUUAACAGUUUUGGCGAGAACUCCACAUCCUUCCCCCCGCAAUAGUAUAAAGGGCAGAGUGCCUGCCAUUUCCCCAGUUUACUGAAGACUGCCCAUUUGCCCCCGUGUGGAAUCGGUAAAAAACCUAAUUCACAGUAAAUGAGAGAUCAGAUAGAGAUGCUCAAGUAAGAAGCAUAUGAGAUACACCUAUACUAUAUAGGUAGAAGAACAAUGUGGAAGGAUAGACCAAAAUGAUACCUAUCAACCCAGUCACCGACACCAAGUGGGGCCAGUGGGUGGGUUGUGUGAAUGCACAGAUGGCCACUUGAAGAACAACAGUUACAGGUAAGCAACCUGCCUUUCUUCAUUGUGGCCUCUGUGCAUCAUACAUUAUGGGUGAUUAGUAAGCUUACCAUACCUGGAAGCGGGACGGUGUCGUCACUAAAGAACUGAGGAGAGGACUGCACGGCGAAAGAGCAGUUUUGUCUGGCAUGAACAUCUAGUCAGUAGUGUUUGGUCAACGGGCAAGGGGUAGUCCAGGUAGCCGCCUUGCAGAUGUCAUGCAUAGGGAUGCCAGCAGAAAGGGCAGAAGAAGCAACAACAGCCCCUGUGGAAUGCCCUUUAGGCAGCACAGGAAAGUCCAACUUGGAUAGACAAUAGGAGAAUUUGAUAGUUUGAACGAUCCACUUAGAGAGUCUCUGAGAAGUAAUCGGAGAUCCUUUGUCGUGUUCAGAAUAUUUGAUGAAAAGGCAUUUAGUCUUCCUGAAAGACUCAGUCUCGGAUUGAUAGAAUGCCAAACAGUGUUGGACAUCAAGUGAAUGUAGAGAACGUUCUAUCGACGUGGAGAGCAUAGGAAAGAAUGCUGGCAAGACGAUAUCUUGAUUGAUGUGGAAAGGCAAAGCAACCUUAGGAAGGAAGUCCGGGUCAGUACAGAGAACAACUUUCUCCUUGUGGAAGUUGAGAUAAGGUGGGUCAAUUUGUAAAGAGUUCGCUAGCCUUCCUGGCUGAAGUAAUGGCUAUAAGGAAAGCUGUCUUCCAGGAUAAAAGACAUAAGUCUGUAGUGGCUAGCAGUUCGAAUGGAGGCUUGGUGAGAGCCUGAAGAACCACUGAAAGACUCCAUGUUGAUACCACCGAGUGGACUGGUGGUUGGAGGUUCUGUAGUCCUUUUAAGAAGCAAUGAACAAGAAAAUGUGAAAACACUGAGGAGCUCGAUAAGGAGCAGCGAUGAUGUGAAACAGCGAUAUAAACUUGAAUAGAAGAAGGUUUAAGUCCAUUUUGGUGUACAGACAGGAGAAAUUGUAAAAUGUUCUCAAUUGAGGCUGAGUGAGGAAUAAAUUGGUAGGUUAACAUGAAUGAAGUAAAGCAUUUCCAUUUACCUUCAUAGGAGCAUCGAGUAGCUGGUCUUAGAGCAGAUUAAAGAAUAAACUGUAUGGCAGGAUGGAAAAUGCCCGGAUUCGAUGAAGAACUAGGAACCAAUGUUGAAACCGAUGGUACGGCUGUGGUGGAGGGCUGCUGAAGAGGUGUCGAAUCCAACAGAUUUGUCAGUGUUGAUGAGACAGCAUUAGUUAUCAAAUGAGCCAGGCCAUAAGGUUCAGAGAAUGUAGAUCUGGAUGUUGAAUGGCGCCACUUUGUUGAGUGAGAAGAUGUGGAAUCUACAGAAGACGAAGGAAAGUCUUGGAGAGAAUGGUGGGAAACCACGGUUGGCGGGGCCACCAAGGUGUUAUGAGAAUCCCUGGAGGAUGAAUCAGCCAGAGAAGGAGGAGGUCUAGAUAGCACAGCUGCUGAUGUCGAGGGAACAUCUUUCAGGACCAGAUGUGGUAUGGAGUGAUGCGGGAGUAUGGAAGGCCUGGGGUAGUAUCCGUGUGGUGGGUAGUAGUCCCAUGGGAUGGAUCGAAAUCGCCAUAGGACAUAGGCACCCAGCUCCUCGAAGGCUGUCUUGGAGUGUGCUGUUGCUGGUGGAUCUGUGACCGAGGCUGGGCCCUUGGACAAGCCUCAGGAGAAGCCAGCAUCAGAGUUGGAGAGCACGCUGAUGGUAGUCCAGUCAGAGAUCGAGGUGGCGAGUCCUGAAUCUCACCAUCAGACAUGGAACUGUGAACAACAGCCUCCGAGCGGUCCAGAGUAGGUGGAGCUGGGAGGCAGAUCCUCUGAGGGGACCCUGGUGGGGUCACCUGCACGACGGACUGUACAUGUGAACUGGUCGGUGUCGUAAUCAAGAUGGCGGUUGGUACCGAUGGCAUGGUCAUACCUGAGUCUCUCUGUGGUGGCUUAGCAAACUUUUUCUGCUUACGAUCCUACUUACCAGCCUUGUUCUUUUUAGCUUUUUUGGGAGCCGAAGGCUCAUUGGAUCCAGUAUGCUUCCUCUUCUCCUUCUGCUUAUGGUGAGGAGAAUGAGAGGAGUGUUUAGCCUCCAUAGGAGUCCUACCAUCAGCCAAUGGACGAAGAGGAGGAGCGGUCAUAGAUGGGCCCACCAGCAUGGUCUCAGCCGCAAGCUGUCAGAUGCGACCAAGGCCUGGUCCCACAGAAUCUUCCAUAGGCGGUUCUCACGAUUCUUACAGGCCUGCCUCAUGAAAGACUGGCAAUGGCCAAACUUAUCAGUCCUGUGUCCUUCCUUCCCCCAAGCAAAGAAGGCACAGGUCGUGUGGAUCAGUGGGGGACAUUUUAGCUCCACACUUGGAGCACUUGCGGAAAGCUGCUUGCUGAACCAUCAAAGAAAAAGAAGAGGAUAGUGAGGGAGAGAGAAAAACGCACAAGAUUAACGAUAGACGGGUUUUUUUAAAACAAAUUUUAAUGGGGAAAGGGGAAGGGAAAAGGGGAAGAAAAACUUUCUAGAAAUGGGGGGAUUAGGUGGUUAUAACUUGGAAAGGAGAUAGUAACAAGAAAGAUAAACAGCAAAUGAAAGUCUAUAGAAAAGGCAAGUAUAGCUACGAGAGACAAUGAAAGGCUCGAGGCACAGCGAAUGGCAGUCACAAGAAGACUGGGAGUUCCUGCCAAAAUCGUUAAAGCUUGACUCUUUCCUGGCUUUAGGCACAGCGCAGGCACAGCACCCAUAAUGUGUGAAUGCACAGAUGGCCACGAUGAAGAAGAUGGGUCUUUCCAAUCACAGCCAAUCUGUUAAGGCUAGCAGUUUGAGGCUUUUUAACUGUCUUCAUCACACACUAUGACCCUACUUUCAGUGAGAAAUCAAACAUACCUUCCAAUUCUAUUUAAAUGUAGCUUUCAGAGAGAGAGAAAAAGUUUUAAAGGUAAAUUACGAAUGCUUUAUUAUGGCACAUUGUUAGUGGUCCACAAGCUCCAUUCCACAACAUGUCCAACAACAUGAAGCUGUUUGAACUAUCAAACAAGGCCUUGGCCUACAGCUUGUGAUUUUAAUAAUAUAGUGCUGGUUUUGACAAUGGUCCCAGCACUGAAGGGAAAAAAAGAUGUUCAGCUAGCUAUGAGUUCCAUACAUGAUAAAAUAGUAUCAAUAUGGAUCUAAAACAGCAUUAUUUCUUCAAAAAAAAAAAGCAUUGUUAUAUAGACCAGCAAAUGCUAAAUAAUUUUCAAGAGGGGAAAAACAGUUUGAGAACCACUUUGUUCCAUCUUCAAAGGAAUCUUUGUGGCUGCUGUUUCCAUGUGGCCAUGUCACUUCAAUAACAUUUGGAAUAUGGAGAGGCAGUUAGCCCCUUUCUGCACAACCAGCAUCAGACAUAGAUUUCAUAGAAUGGUAGAGUUGGAAUGGGCCAUGAAGGCCAUCAGGUCCAACCCCCUGCUGUUGCAGGACACCAAUUUACUUCACCCCACAUGGUGGUGGAAUUUAAAGGAAAUAAUUGCACCAAUCUUUCCUCGGGGUGGCUUCCCUAUUUCAAAUGUUUUUUUUUUAAUUUCUAAAAUGUAUAUCUCAGUCUAAUGGCUAAUCAGCAUUCCCACUGCAGCUGGAAAUGUUGCAGAAGCAGUGAAAAAUGUGACCACCUUGAAAACAGCAACCAUAUAGCUAGGAGCCAGCUUAUACAUUUGGCAAAACUAAACCAAGCAGCAAAGCUUCCCUGGAAUGUAUUCUGUUUGAAUGCUGUAUCCUUCGCAACCAGGGAAGGGGGGAUGUGUGUGGAAUGGGACAUGGAAAACAGCAUAACAAAGAGAAGCCUAGCCUGACUGCUACUCCUUGAAGUGAUCGUUUUCUUUGUGCAGAGACAUUUUUAGAUGGGAAGUUGCCCCUUUCUCUCCUGCUACCUGUUGUAGUGCAGCCCAAGAACAACAGAAACUGGGCUUGUGGUCAGGUAGGAAGAACACCUUCCUGUAAUGAUGUUCCCAUUCUGCUUAGUUUUUAUUAAAAUUCAGCAAGACAUUAAAGUUCAGCAACUGGUUCAAUGCCCCCUGUACAUCUACAGCACUGAUCCUAAUCAGUCUGGAUCAGACCAUAUACUCUAACUGCCUCUGAAUUUUAAUGUAUGAGAAUUGCUAUUGAAUUAAUUAUUGUAAGAUGUUCUGUAGGGGACAGGAUAGAAAAGCUUUUAAUUAAUUAAUUUCAAUGAUCUGUGAAUCUGGUCCAUUAUGUUACAAAUGUCCUAAUAGAAAGAACAUUUUCUGCUUUAGAAUUAAACUAGAUGAAACCCAGUUGCAUAUUAUCUUUUCCUCAUCCUUUUUUUAAAAUAAAAUGCAUCUUAGAGAGGCUGUGAGUUUAAGUGGAUGAAUAGACCAAAAUAAGGGCUGUCUAACCCCUUCCUCAUGGCAGUCUUUCCACUCAAAAUUGCACUCUCAAAGCUGGAUUUGAAGAUCGUGAGGGAAAGAUGCAUGCAACUCUUUGGGUUUUGAGAAAGGGACUACCACAGGCAAUGCAUAAUAUAUUAUCUUCAGUCUUACAAUAACAUAACACACUGGGUAACUUGGAAUGAAAAUUUUGCAUAAAUAAUACGGGUCUAUUUUUAUGUACAUAGAAUAUUGUAGAAUAUCUUCCAGUCUUUUUCUUUCUUUCUUUUUCUCUUUUUUUUUUUUUUUUUGAGAUUGUUGAAUUGAAAAGAGCAAUUGAAUAUUUGUCCUAUUUUUAUGUUUGGGGGGAAAAGUGAAUGGACUGAAAUGUUAAACUUGUGAAUGUAAAUUUCUUACUGCAACUUUUAUACUGAGUGUUUGCACUAUUAUCAUUUCUGGAGUCUAAUUAAUAAAGGAAACAAUCUGCUUGAGUAAA